AUGAGAGGCUUUGCGAGAAAUGUAAUCUAUGCUUUCUAUAAAAGGAGAAAUUCUGAUGACAUAAGAAAAGCUGUUGUGGCAGCCAGAAAGGCUGUCCAACAAUGCUUUUCUUAUGUCAUUACUGCAUCAUAAGUCUUAAUAUAUAAAAUCAUUUAAAAUCUAUAUAAACCUCUGUCAUCCAAAACCUCUGCCCAUAUCUAUCCUUUAAAGCCAGCAGAGGUUGGAGGUCCUUUGGGAUGCGUAUAUCUCAGCAGAUGUUUUGAAAUUGCCGGUAUGACUAAAUGAUGAUUGUGAAUGAUUUGAGCAGAUGAUGAUGAUGAUUGUUCUACAGUUGUUCCUACCAAAUGCAAGAAACUCUUUGUUUCUGCUGCAACAAACUCUCCGAUUACAGAUCUUUGUGCUUCACAUAAUUGUUCCAGCAUCAUUGUUCCAACAUCGUUGAAAUCUAAUCACAGUUGUUUGAAAUUCAUACAAUUAUCUGCGGGUUAUUUUAGAUGAUGAUGUAGAAUCUACAGUGGUUCCUACUAAACACAAGAAAGUAUAUGCUUCUACUACUCCGAUGAUUUAAAGUAUCUCUUUAUCAAGCAAGUUGAGGAUUAAGUAUAUGAGGAUAGGGCUACUCUUCAAGAGUUGAAGAGGUGUUUUGAUGGACUGCAUCUUGGUCUGUUCACGAGAGACCAGGUUUCCAGAAACCUGAUGGCGAUGCCUUCAACUUCCGUGGAGUUCAUGGCGAUGCUCAAAGAUAUACAUCGAGAG
rnacentral:lncRNA from 1 species